rnacentral:rRNA from 1 species
AUACGUAGGUGACAAGCGUUAUCCGGAUUUACUGGGCGUAAAGGGCGUGUAGGCGGUCUUGCAAGUCAGAAGUGAAAUUCCUGAGCUCAACUGUGGGCUGCCAUUGGUAACUGGUAGACUUGAGUGCGGUAGAGGUAAGUGGAAUUCCAAGUGGAGCGGUGGAAUGCGUAGAUAUUUGGAGGAACACCAGUGGCGAAGGCGGCUUACUGGGCCGUUACUGACGCUGAGGCACGAAAGCGUGGGGAGCAAACAGGAUUAGAUACCCUGGUAGUCCACGCCGUAAACGAUGAGCACUAAGUGUCGGAUGAAUUUUCGGCGCUGCAGUUAACACAAUAAGUGCUCCGCCUGGGGAGUACGGCCGCAAGGUUGAAACUCAAAUGAAUUGGCGGGG